ACGUGGACAACCUACCCUUAGGAGGGGGAUAAUCUCGGGAAACUGAGGAUAAUACCCCAUAGGCGGCAGAUUCUGGAAUGAUUGCUGCUUAAAUGCGUCAACCUAUAUCCCGGUUGAUAUUGCCUAAGGAUGGGUCUGCGGCGGAUUAGGCUGAUGUUAGGGUAACUGCCUAACAUACCUAAAAUCUGUACCGGCUAUGAGAGUAGGAGCCGGGAGAUGGAUACUGAGACAAGGAUCCAGGCUCUACGGAGCGCAGCAGGCGCGGAAACUCUGCAAUGCGCGCAAGCGUGACAGGGGAACACCAAGUGCCUCCCAUAAAGAGGCUUUUGAGGUAUGUAAAAAGUACCUAGAAUAAGGGGUGGGCAAGACUAGUGCCAGCCUCCGCGGUAAAACUAGCAACCCAAGUGGUGGUCGUUUUUAUUUGGCUUAAAGCGUCCGUAGUCGGAUAUGUAAGUUUCCUGUGAAAUCCUAGCGCUUAACGUUAGGGCUUGCAGGGAAUACUGCUUAUCUUGGAGCCGGGAGAGGUUGGGGGUAUUCCUGGGGUAGCGGCGAAGUGCUAUAAUCCUAGGAGGACCACCGACAGCGAAGGCACCCAACUAGAACGGGCUCGACGAUGAGGGACGAGAGCUAGGGGAGCAAACCGGAUUAGAUACCCGGGUAGUCCUAGCCGUAAACGAUGCAGGCUGUGUGUUCCCUGAACCUCGAGUUCAGGGAGUGCUGAAGGGAAACCGUUAAGCCUGCCGCC
rnacentral:rRNA from 1 species